rnacentral:rRNA from 1 species
AGGGCAGUGUGAAAAACUCCGGUGGUAUACGAUGGAUCCGCGUCUGAUUAGCUGGUUGGCGGGGUAACAGCCCNCCAAGGCGACGAUCAGUAGCCGGCCUGAGAGGGUGAACGGCCACAUUGGGACUGAGACACGGCCCAAACUCCUACGGGAGGCAGCAG